rnacentral:rRNA from 1 species
UGACCUCAAAUCAGGUAGGACUACCCGCUGAACUUAAGCAUAUCAAUAAGCGGAGGAAAAGAAACUAACAAGGAUUCCCCUAGUAACUGCGAGUGAAGCGGGAAAAGCUCAAAUUUAAAAUCUGGCGGUCUCUGGCUGUCCGAGUUGUAAACUAGAGAAGUGUUAUCCGUGCUGGACCAUGUAAAAGUCUCCUGGAACGGAGCGUCAUAGAGGGUGAGAAUCCCGUCUUUGACAUGGACUACCAGUGCAUUGUGAUAUGCUCUCAAAGAGUCGAGUUGUUUGGGAAUGCAGCUCAAAAUGGGUGGUAAAUUCCAUCUAAAGCUAAAUAUUGGCGAGAGACCGAUAGCGAACAAGUACCGUGAGGGAAAGAUGAAAAGAACUUUGGAAAGAGAGUUAAACAGUACGUGAAAUUGUUGAAAGGGAAACGCUUGAAGUCAGUCACAUUGGCUGGAGAUCAACCUUGCUUUUGGAAGGUGUACUCUCUGGUUGAUGGGUCAGCAUCAAUUUUGACCAUUGGAAAAAGGUUAGGGGAAUGUGGCAUCCUUGGAUGUGUUAUAGCCCUUGAUUGUAUACAGUGGUUGGGAUUGAGGAACUCAGCACGCCGCAAGGCCGGGUUUUACCACGUUCGUGCUUAGGA